rnacentral:tRNA from 1 species
GCCCAGGUGGCGGAAUGGUAGACGCGCAAGCUUGAGGUGCUUGUGCCUAAUUUUAUCGGGCGUACGGGUUCAACUCCCGUCCUGGGCA